rnacentral:rRNA from 1 species
AUUGAACGCUGGCGGCAGGCCUAACACAUGCAAGUCGAACGAGUGGCGGACGGGUGAGUAAUGUCUGGGAAACUGCCCGAUGGAGGGGGAUAACUACUGGACACGGUAGCUAAUACCGCAUACCAUCAGAUGUGCCCAGAUGGGAUUAGCUAGUAGGUGGGGUACCGGCGCACCGAGGUGACGAUCCCUAGCUGGUCUGAGAGGAUGACCAGCAACACUGGAACUGAGACACGGUCCAGAAUCCUACGGGAGGCAGCAGUGGGGAAUAGUGCACAAUGGGCGCAAGCCUGAUGCAGCCAUGCCGCGUGUGUGAAGAAGGCCUUCGGGUUGUAAAGUACUUUCAGCGGGGAGGCGGUACCCGCAGAAGAAGCACCGGCUAACUCCGUGCCAGCAGCCGCGGUAAUAC